UAUUUUCUUUGGUCUUUCCUAAAAUUUGAUCCUCAAAAAGGAAGCUAACAAACUCCUAGAAAGGUCUGCCAUCUUCAGGCAAAUAAAAGCUGCUAACUGAUUAGUUCAUUGUCAAUCAAAUGGAAAUCAAAUUCAUUUACCAGGUAUAAAGCUGCUCUCAUCAUGGUUUUUUUCUGCUCACUUUUGGCAGGGGAAAAAAAAGAAAAAAUAAAAAGAAAACAGAAAAGAAACCUUGAACACAGUGGUGACUGCAGUUGGCCCAAGCUUAAACCAGCAGAGACUGCAGCCAGAGGACUCUCUGGCUGACCCACGGUCUAGGCUAAUGAAGGAGCAUGCUGCUGUAGCAGCAUGACCAUGAGCAGGGAAAGUGUGAGAUCUCAUGCCUGGUCCUCCUCCUGUGACUGUCCGCUCUUGGACCCAUCAAAUGGUCAUGGCACAUGCAACCGUUUGCUGUGGCAAUGGCUUCAACUGGCCCAAGGAGAGCUCCAGCCUUUGGGCAGGGAGCGAGGUACGAGCAGAAAUGAGACCUCCCCCAGGAGAGGACAGAAGAGCCCAUUUUGUCUCUCUAGCAAGACCUUUCAGAUACUGGUUGUACCCACAGAUGCCCACUCUCACAUCCAGCACACCCUUUCCCCAUAGGGAAGAGAGGGGAGGACCCCCACCAAGAAAAAAAACUACUCCUUCUCAACACUGUGGCAUCGGACCCAGGGCCACGGGACCGGGGCUUUCCCCGCAUUUCUGCAGGGACCCGAACCCAGGGGACGUCACCUCCCGCCACGCGUCAGGGAAGGGGAGCAGAGCAGCAGGGGAGCUGCAAUACAUUACUUGGCAUAUGACGCAUGCAGCAUAGAAUAGACCUGGCUUUGAUGCGGAAAUCCCUUUCUCCAUCCUGUAGUCCCUGAUUUACGAGGUUAACGACUUCAUCUGGAGUGAGGUCUCCCCUGCAGGGGAAGAAAAGCCAUCAGUGAGAGGCCGGACACCCGCCAGGGAGGCAGGCAGGAGCCGCAGGUCCAGCCCAGCAUCCCUACGGGACACCCCAUGCAAAACCCAGGCUGCCCGGGGUCCCACUCGCCUUAACAUCCAGAGGAGCGCGACGAGACCGCCCAGAGCUGAAGAGCACCUUUUACACCCGUGCCAUGCCCAGAUCUACCAGAUGUCGGGCACAAAAGCAUGCAAAGAUGAUAGUAAGAUUUAGAAGAGCCUCAGAGAACUGGAUGCCAAUCCUGCCUGAGCAGAGGAACCUGCUCUUUACCAGAGCAUCUCAUUAGGGCACACAACUGCCUGCAGCUGGGCAGGGACGAGCACGAGGGCUCAACACCCAUCACAGCACAUUUUGCAAGGGGCCACAAGGCCCAGCACUGAUUUAAUCAGAGGCACACAUCACAGAGGGGAUGACAUGUAAAGAAGGGAUCGGAUCACCAGCUCGCUCCAACAUUGCCCACUGUCUCUGCGAGCUCAAAUUCACAUUUUGCAGGCAAGCAAUCCGUAUAUGAAUGCUGCUUUCCCUCGCACAGAGAACAGCUUCAGCCAGAAGUUUAAGCACAGCCGCUCUGCACACGCAGAAUGAGGUGCCCAAAGCAAGGGAUGUUAAAACAUGGCAGCACACACAGAUAUUAUAAGAUGAAAAAUGCUAUCGAUGGGGAAGACAGGUGGAACCAUGCCGGCGCUCGCUGCACUGGAGGAGAGAGAAGGUUUAGUUACACCAAACUUUGAACACGCGCCAGCUGACCGGCGUGGGCCAUGCCUUCUCCGUGCCAAACUGGCUACCCACCGGCUCCCCGGCACAGCGGGAUCACUCACUCGGUUUGGCCCCAAGGGAUGGGAUCCACAUGGCAGUUGGCCAGGAGGUGAGGGCUGUACCGGACCUCCACGUAGAUGACGCCUUCUUUUGCUUUCGUUUCCACGAGCUCGUAGGCGAUCCUCCUCACCGCCUCACGGUCACCCCUGCAAGGGACAGUAGUGGGACCCAUCACCGGCUCUCAUCACCCUCGGGGCACACUGGGGAUGGGCAAGGUGACCUCCAAGGCUGAGCAACUUUAGCCAAGGAGUCCUGCCAAGGGUUGAGGAGGAAGAAGUAAAAUGCAGGGUACUUACGCAAUGGCAGGCAUGUAGUGAUUAAACUUUUCUAGAAACUG